UACCGGCUUGAAUUUAAUGGACU
rnacentral:piRNA from 1 species